GGCGGCCACGCUCCGGCCGGGUCCCCGCGGCUCCCGGCGGCGGCGGCGGCGCCAUGGACGAGGCCGUGGGCGACCUGAAGCAGGCGCUACCGUGCGUGGCCGAGGCGCCGACCGUGCACGUGGAGGUGCACCAGCGCGGCGGCAGCACCGCGAAGAAGGAAGACAUAAAGCAGAGCGUCCGGAAGCUGCUCAACAGACAUAACAUCGUGUUUGGAGACUACACGUGGACCGAGUUCGACGAGCCUUUUCUGACCAGGAACGUGCAGUCCGUGGCCAUCGUUGACACGGAGUUGAAGGCGAAAGACCCACAGCCCAUCGAUCUGGGCGCCUGCGCAGUCGCGCUGCACGUCUUCCAGCUGAACGAGGGCGGCCCCAGCAGUGAGACUCUGGAGGAGGAGACGGAGAACAUCACUGCGGCAAGCCACUGGGUCCUGCCUGCAGCUGAAUUCCACGGGCUUUGGGACAGCCUGGUAUAUGACGUGGAAGUCAAAUCUCAUCUCCUGGAUUACGUGACGACGACUCUGCUGUUCUCAGACAAGAACGUCGACAGCAACCUCAUCGCCUGGAACCGGGUGGUGCUGCUGCACGGUCCUCCGGGAACUGGGAAGACCUCCCUGUGUAAAGCCUUAGCCCAGAAGCUGACCAUUAGGCUCUCGAGCAGGUACCGGUACGGCCAGCUGAUUGAAAUAAACAGCCACAGUCUCUUUUCCAAGUGGUUCUCGGAAAGCGGCAAGCUGGUAACGAAGAUGUUCCAGAAGAUUCAGGACUUGAUCGACGACAAGGACGCCCUGGUGUUUGUGCUGAUUGACGAGGUGGAGAGCCUCACGGCUGCCCGCAACGCCUGUAGGGCCGGCACCGAGCCUUCGGACGCCAUACGCGUGGUCAAUGCCGUCCUGACCCAGAUCGAUCAGAUCAAGAGGCACUGCAAUGUGGUGAUUCUGACCACGUCCAACAUCACGGAGCGGAUCGACGUGGCCUUCGUGGACAGGGCUGACAUCAGGCAGUACAUCGGGCCGCCCUCUGCGGCAGCCAUCUUCAAAAUCUACCUGUCCUGCUUGGAGGAACUGAUGAAGUGCCAGAUCAUCUACCCUCGCCAGCAGCUGCUGACCCUCCGGGAGCUUGGAGAUGAUCGGCUUCAUCGAAACAACGUGUCGAAGUUUGAGCCUCCCUUUUGAGUGAAAUUCAAGGAAGAGUGAGGGUCUCAGCGGCCGCGUCCUAAGAAACUCCCUUUCCUGGCUCACGCGCUGUCGUCCAGGCCCCCACCGUCACCAUCGAGGGCUUCCUGCAGGCCCUGUCCCUGGCGGUGGACAAGCAGUUUGAAGAGAGGAAGAAGCUCUCGUCUGCAUUUGAGCUGAGGCCUCCGCCCGCGGCUUUCUGAGCACGACCAGCGGGCGACGCAUCCACUCAGAGCAGCGGCACCGGCCCCGGUCUAAGGGCCAGAAGCCCGUGAGGCUAAGUGGUGUUCCACAAAGUGCGCUGUGUCUACGUGUCACUUCCACGGUUGGGAAGGAUGGUAGUUGGCGUUCUGUCCCGGUAAAGACUGUCCCGACGUGCUCAUUCCGUCCUGUGUCUGGUCUGUUGGGCAGAAAAUGCUGACAAACGUUUGAAAAGGGCAAUGACCGUAGGUAAUUAAGAAACAAAAGGGGAACCUAGCGCCUUAAAUAACAACGUAGCCCUGGCAUCAAGACGUCGGCCUCGCUGAAGACAGAGGCAGCUUCCCCACCUGACCGUGUUUGCGGGGCGCUGCACACGCUUCAGAGGCCGAUGACUAAGAAAUCCUGUCCCUAUGUGCUAGAAACGGAGAAAGAAAUUCCAGGUAGAACACUUUUCCCAAUAAUCAGUCGCGGUGCUAUUUGUGAGAAAGGUGCAGCCUCACCGUCCGGGUGACCGCGGGCCACCGCCCUGGCAUCCGCCACAGGCCCCAGCACGUGGCACUCAUACCUGUCGUUUUGUCCCUUCAGCGAGGUUCCUGCGGUGCAAGUGUGUGGUCACGGUGGCCAUGGACACUGGCUGAUGGCUGGGUCUCGUGGGUUGUAUUUGGGGCUGCCUGUUGCUAAGCUUUGACGUUCGUGGUUUAUAUACGUUUUUCAGGAACAUGUUCUCUUCUGUUACAGAACUUCUUAAGUAUUAAAACUUCUCCCCGAGAA